AUGGCCACCAGGCUCCUCUGCUGGGUGGCCCUCUGUCUCCUGAGCAGAGGGCCCACACAUGCUGAAGUCACCCAGACACCCAGACACAAGGUGACAGACCGAGGACAAGAAGUGGCUCUGACUUGUGAGCCAAUUGCAGGCCAUGACUACCUUUACUGGUACAGACAGACCUCAGUGGAAGGCAUAAAGUUUCUGAUUUCCUUCAGGUUUGCCAAACUUCUGGACAAGUCAGGAAUGCCCAAUGAGCGAUUCUCAGCUGAGAUGCUUAAUAAGUCAUUCUCCACUCUGAAGAUCCAGCCCACAGAACCCGGGGACUCGGCCGUGUACCUCUGUGCCAGCAGUUAG